rnacentral:tRNA from 1 species
GGGGGGGUAGUUUAGGAAAAAUAUAAGCCCUGGGAGUUUAUGAUGCUGAGUGUUCAGUCCCCCUUA